rnacentral:rRNA from 1 species
CGGGGGGGGCAAGCGUUGUUCGGAAUUACUGGGCGUAAAGGGCUCGUAGGCGGCCAACUAAGUCAGACGUGAAAUCCCUCGGCUUAACCGGGGAACUGCAUCUGAUACUGGAUGGCUUGAGUUCGGGAGAGGGAUGCGGAAUUCCAGGUGUAGCGGUGAAAUGCGUAGAUAUCUGGAGGAACACCGGUGGCGAAGGCGGCAUCCUGGACCGACACUGACGCUGAGGAGCGAAAGCCAGGGGAGCAAACGGG